GUGCUUGCUUCGGCAGCACGUAUACUAAAAUUGGAACGAUACAGAGAAGAUUAGCAUAGUGCCUGCACAAGGAUGACACUCAAAUUAGUGAAGCAUUCCAUAUUUUU
ensembl:snRNA U6 U6 spliceosomal RNA